UACGUAGGGCGCAAGCGUUAUCCGGAAUUAUUGGGCGUAAAGAGCUCGUAGGCGGUUUGUCGCGUCUGCCGUGAAAGUCCGGGGCUCAACUCCGGAUCUGCGGUGGGUACGGGCAGACUAGAGUGAUGUAGGGGAGACUGGAAUUCCUGGUGUAGCGGUGAAAUGCGCAGAUAUCAGGAGGAACACCGGUAGCGCGAAGGCGGGUCUCUGGGCAGUAACUGACGCUGAGGAGCGAAAGCGUGGGGAGCGAACAGGAUUAGAACUCGUAGUCAGUCCAAGACCAU
rnacentral:rRNA from 1 species